UACGUAGGGUGCGAGCGUUAAUCGGAAUUACUGGGCGUAAAGCGUGCGCAGGCGGUUUUGUAAGACCGAUGUGAAAUCCCCGGGCUCAACCUGGGAACUGCAUUGGUGACUGCAAGGCUUGAGUGUGUCAGAGGGGGGUAGAAUUCCACGUGUAGCAGUGAAAUGCGUAGAGAUGUGGAGGAAUACCGAUGGCGAAGGCAGCCCCCUGGGAUAAUACUGACGCUCAUGCACGAAAGCGUGGGGAGCAAACAGG
rnacentral:rRNA from 1 species